rnacentral:rRNA from 1 species
AUUGAACGCUGGCGGCAGGCCUAACACAUGCAAGUCGAACGAGUGGCGGACGGGUGCGUAAUGUCUGGGAAACUGCCCGAUGGAGGGGGAUAACUACUGGAAACGGUAGCUCAUACCGCAUACCAUCGGAUGUGCCCAGAUGGGAUUAGCUAGUAGGUGGGGUAACGGCUGCACGAGGCGACGAUCCCUAGCUGGUCUGAGAGGAUGACCAGCCAGACGGGAACUGAGACACGGUCCAGACUCCGACGUGAGGCAGCAGUGGGGAAUAUUGCACAAUGGGCGCAAGCAUGAUGCAGCAAUGCAGCGUGUAUGAAGAAGGCCUUAGGGUUGUAAAGUACUUGAAGCGAGGAGGGGUUACUCGCAGAAGAAGCACCGGCUAAAUCCGUGCCAGCAGCCGCGGUAAUUC